rnacentral:rRNA from 1 species
AUUGAACGCUGGCGGCAUGCCUUACACAUGCAAGUCGAACGGCAGCACGGGAGCAAUCCUGGUGGCGAGUGGCGAACGGGUGAGUAAUAUAUCGGAACGUGCCCAGUAGUGGGGGAUAACUGCUCGAAAGAGCAGCUAAUACCGCAUACGACCUGAGGGUGAAAGGGGGGGAUCGCAAGACCUCUCGCUAUUGGAGCGGCCGAUAUCAGAUUAGCUAGUUGGUGGGGUAAAGGCCUACCAAGGCAACGAUCUGUAGUUGGUCUGAGAGGACGACCAGCCACACUGGGACUGAGACACGGCCCAGACUCCUACGGGAGGCAGCAGUGGGGAAUAUUGCGCAAUGGGCGAAAGCCUGACGCAGCCAUACCGCGUGUGUGAAGAAGGCCUCGGUGUAAGACACUUCUAGUGGGGUAGGGAAAAGGACGUAGGU